rnacentral:lncRNA from 1 species
ACAGGUGGUUGAGAAAAAAAAAAUGAAAAGGCCGUUCCUAAAAAAGCUUAUUCAAUUAAAGCCUCAGAGAGAAAGGAGAAAACACGUGAUGUACCCUUCAGUAAAUACUGCUUUCAGAAAAGGAGCUGAUCUUACUGUCCUGAAAACGCUGAAGUGCAGCGGCACAUCUCUGCCUACUGCAGUGUCCACCUCCCAGGCUCAAGCGAUUCUCCUGCCUCAGCCUCCUGAGUAACUGAGAAGACAGGCACACACCACCACGCCCUGUUUAUUAUUAUUAUUAUCUUGUAUUUUUAGUAGAGACAGGUUUCACUUUGUUGGCCAGGCUGGUCCCGAAAUCCUGGCCUCAAGUGAUCCAUCCACACUGGCCUCCCAAAGUGCAGGGAUUACAGGUGUGAGUCACAGUGUCCGUCCAAAAAGUUCUUGCUAAUAAAAUUGCAAGCUUGCUAAACAGGCAAGUUUUGGCAAACCAGCAUAAUCUUUUUUUUUCUUGACUGCUGUUUUAUAUUGUACUUCUUUUGUAAGCAUCAUCACUUAAACUACUUCUGAUAUUGUAAUUUAUUAAUAUAUAGAAGUCGAUAUUGAUCUUGACAUAGCAUUUUUUUACUGUUAUCUAGACUUAUCUAAUCAAUUGUAAUAUGUUUCUAUGCUGUUGAACUUUAUUUGAGUUUAUACAUGUAUUUAAAAAUAAGUAAAGUCAUAUUUUAUUUAUAUUAUAGUUUUAUUGAUUGCUUUCAUUUUUCAUGAUAACAUUUUACAUAUCUUGGUAGAAUAAAAAGAAUGUAAGAAUUCCAGGCACAAGAACAAGGCCCCAGGUCAGAUUUUUCAUUUUCUUUCUGUGUUUCCUUGGGCAAGACACUUCAUGAUUAAGUCAAUUUCCAUUUCUAAAAUGGAUUUUAUAAUCCCCCCUCCAAUAUGUUUUGACAAAUUGGGUAAAAGAAAGUGCUUUCUUCUGCAAGUAGCAAAAUACCUGGCAAAUGUUACAUCAUUAUUUCUUUUUAGUCUUGUAUGCUUACAAUUUAUAGAAUGUAAUAUAUAGUUUAUGCUUAUUGUAUUUAUAUGUAAAAAUACACAGAUAUGCAAGCUCUACCAAAGUUCAAGGUAUAAGUCGCUCUGAGAUAUUAAGAACAGAUAAAGUAUUACUUUUUAUUAAUAUGUAAUUUAUUUAUGUUUCAACAAUAUAAUUACACUUAUUUUAAUAUUUCAUAUUCUGUAAUCUUUC